rnacentral:rRNA from 1 species
UACGGGGGGGGCAAGCGUUGUUCGGAAUUACUGGGCGUAAAGGGCUCGUAGGCGGCCAACUAAGUCAGACGUGAAAUCCCCAGGCUCAACCUGGGAACUGCGUCUGAUACUGGAUGGCUUGAAUCCGGGAGAGGGAUGCAGAAUUCCAGGUGUAGCGGUGAAAUGCGUAGAUAUCUGGAGGAAUACCGGUGGCGAAGGCGGCAUCCUGGACCGGCAUUGACGCUGAGGAGCAAAAGCUAGGGGAGCAAACGGG